AGACUGUCCAAAGAACUUCAGCAACUAGCUCAAGAAUGAGACCCCCAUAUUCUUCAUUUGUUGCAGUUCUCAAAUGCAAUCGAGGGUAACAUGUCUGCUUAUAAAAAACCUUUUUACCCAGAAGAAAAAGCAGCACCAGCAACUCCCCAUAACUGUGUUCAUCACUCGGAAGAAGACACCAGACACUACGCCUUUAGCGACAACAGAAGUUAUGGACGAGGGUGAAGAUACUGCACCACCUGAUGAAGAGCUGUAAUGCUAUUCUUGGCAACUGUAGUAAACAAACCAGCGGCUAAUAAUCACUGGGUGAAAAGUUGUCAUUUUGCUGCAGCGCGUGGAAAGUAAUAAACUAAAAAUAAAAAUGGAUUCUGUUCCCCCAUGUGGUGACGGCCCCCAGAACACUCCAGUGGAAAGGACACCCAUAAGUGCAAACCCUGAAAUGGGAGAUGCUCCCAAAAUUAUUAAGUAUUAUGUGGAUGCCAUCAUACCGAACAAUUUUAGGGGACGUCAGCUGAAUCCAGACCGAACAGUUAAAGUUAUUAGUGUCAGGGUGAUCCGAAACAGACGUUAGAGUCCAGACACGUAUUCUGUGAAUGAUCACCUCCAAACCUUCACCACCACCUAAAGAUAUAAAAUAUCACAAAAAUAUAAUUAA